UCCAAUAAUCAUUUAUUUUUUCUUUUUAGAUAAAAUCUACUUAUUUAAUAUGAAGAUUAUAAUUUUCGACACUGCAAAAAAUUACGUUAAAGACGUCAUACAUCUCCGGAAUAUCGAACUUUGACUCGGCAACGGAAUACACUUGCGCAGGAGGUAGACGGAACACGGAAUUGACAUAUUUUGUGACGAAAUAUUCUGAAGAAAUUUUGCGGUGAUCAUUAGACAAAAUGGAAUUGGUCCAGAAGGAAAACAUUACACCUUCCAGAUCCUGUUUUCACAUUCAGGAAGUCAUUAUAUGAUAUGCCGAAGAACUUUAACGACUUCUCAACUAUCAAAUUCGACUAUCAUCGUUUGGGGCGAAUUGCAUAUUUAAUAAUUGUUCGAACUCGAAACAAGUAAUGUAAUGUGUGUGU